AUUCCCAAACUUGCAUCUCUCUAACUUCUUUCUAGUUUCCCUCUCCCCAAACAUCAACCUCAAUUAGAGCCUCAAGUCUAGGGAGAAUUCACCAAGGAUUUCAUCUCAAAUUCAUGGAAAAAUCAUCACUCAGGUAUGGCUUCUUUUACUCUUGGAAUUCCUUUCCCCAAGAGGUCCUUUCAAAGAUGAUUUUCAACUUCCCCAAAACUAGAUUUUCAAUCUAGACAUGUGUUCCCUUUUCAAAACGAAAUUGUUAAUCGAUUAUGAUAAAUUAUAGUAUUUUAUCAUUGUUUAACUAAGUAUUAAUGAUAAAUUAUUGUUAAUCACUCAAUUUUGCCCCUUUGAACCCAUGUUCUUCUGCACACUCAUUAUGCCUUGAAAUUAUAUGAAAAAUGUGGAAGAUGAAUGAAUAUAUGAAUAUGUAGAAUAGUAAUUGUUAUUUAUUAAUUCUUGAAUUUACCUAUUUUAUGCUUUGGUUAUGUAUUCUUUGGUAAUUGAAGUAUGAAGGCAAAGAUAGGGCAAUAAGGUAUGAAGAUUGAUUCUGCUUGAAUUCAAUUGUGAAGUAUAAUUUACUUAGGUAAUGCUUCUAUGUCUAAUGUGUGGUUGUGAUGUUGAUAGAAAGUGUUCCUCAUCCUUAACCCUAGACUAUUGAAUUGGUUAUGAAGUAUGCGAGCAUGUUAAAAUAAGGUUAUUAUAUGAUUAAAAGUAAAUUCUCAUGAUUAUGAUAAAGUGUUGAUUGAAUGGUUUACUCACAUGUAUGUGGUUUUCUGAAGUGAAAGGGUAGUUCUCACUUAGGAAUACCUAUGAGCUAUUAUGAUGAGAUGUUCACAUAGGGGUCUGGAAGAGACUAAUAUGAUCUUGUAUGAUGAGUAUGAUGAUUACUAAAGGGAAUAAACGCUAGCACCGAAAGGGCAUGUAAAUGAGAUGGAGGUCUCACAUUUAGUAAGUCCGGCCUCUCACAUGAGUUUCUUCACGUUUAGUAAGUACAGAUUUCCAAGAUAUGUGUGUCUCAUGAGAUGGAAACCUCCAUGUUUAGCAAGUCUAGGUUUAUAGUAACAAUCUCCGUGACCCUUACUAUGUGCCCACAUAGGACUAUAGCUUAGUUGAUCUACCUAGAUAGAUAUGUAAGAAUGGUUACACCUUAGGCAAGUGUUAACCCUCUCUUUUCGGUGUGGGAGGAUAACAUCGGAUUCCAUGUAGCUCACAAGGUCUCAUGUUGGUUAUUGCACUUCUUUCCCAAAUGAAAUAAGAUAAAUAAAUAAGUCAAGUAUGUGAACUUUUUAGGACUUGUCUUGAAGGUUGCUACAUAGGGUGAGGGAGGGUAUGGGACUUCUCUUACUCAUUGCACAUGUGGGACCCUAAGAGAGGGUUCUAUAAGUAAGUGUGUAUAAUUAAGUUAGUUACAUGUUAUGUCUGUUAAGUUUUAUAUGAACUUACAAAUCAAGCAUGUUUUGAUAAAGUAUGAUACUAUGUUGUAUGCAUGUUGUAAGUGACUUAAUGUGAUGCUUAGCUUUGGAUAGGUCAUGGGGUUCUAUUCUUGGCAUUGCACAAGUAUUGCAUUAGGUUGCUUAUGUGUUGGGUUAAUAUCAUGUUGGUUUUAAAAUUCUAUAUAUGUGCAUGUUGAAUUAUUGAACAUAAUGCAUGGUUUUGACUAAAUUGUGUCUUUUCUCAUGCAUUAAUGAUUUUACGCAUAGGAGUCAUACUUGGUACAUAUGUUUUGUACUAACCUACAUUUCUUCCCUUUUCCCCCCAAUAUUUUAGGUUUCGGCCAUUGAAUAGCUGCUAGGCCACUUUGCAAGGAUACUUGGACUUCUUCCACCAAGUAGUUGGUGAGUCCUCCAAGUUCGAGGAUGGCGCCUUUUGAUCUACCCCGGUAGUAUUGCUAUAGUCUAAAGACAUUCAUUUCCCUCCUAUUGUUGAAGAUAUUGUUGUAAUACCUAUAUGGCAAUUAUGGAUCUGUAUAAGGGCUAAGCCCAAAUGUUCUACUUUGUUUUAGAUGGUUUAAUGUGAGGCAGUAUAAUUAGACUAAAUCUUUAUAUGUUGGCUACAUUAUCUAAAGGAGAAGCCUAUGUAAGUGUCCUAUGCGAAGAGUCUAUGUAAACUCCAUAUGUAUGCAUAAAGUAAGCGAG
rnacentral:lncRNA from 1 species